UACAGAGGUCUCAAGCGUUGUUCGGAUUCAUUGGGCGUAAAGGGCGCGUAGGCGGAUAGUACAGUCAGGCGUGAAAUUCCUGGGCUCAACCUGGGGGCUGCGUUUGAUACGUAUUGUCUGGAGUUCGGAAGAGGGUCGUGGAAUUCCCAGUGUAGAGGUGAAAUUCGUAGAUAUUGGGAAGAACACCGGUGGCGAAGGCGGCGACCUGGUCCGAUACUGACGCUGAGGCGCGAAAGCGUGGGGAGCAAACAGG
rnacentral:rRNA from 1 species